UUCAGCCACCCAGGUCAGAGCGGUCUCCUGACGGCACCCCCAUCGGGAGACCAGGAACAACUCUCAGUGUGGUAGGCCCCCAUGAGGAAACACUGGAUUCGACACAAAUAUGGUAUCCAGGGUUCUAUCUGUAAAGACGUCGCAACUUCCUGUUUCUGUAUGUGGUGCUCCUGGUGUCUGAUGCAUCGCGAGAUGAAAUACCGCAUGAAACAACCAGCUGUCAUUGUCAACAUGCAGCCUCCUCCAGUCAUUUUCGCUCCUGGGAUGUAUCCUGGAAACCCAGCUCCUCCUGGUUUUAGGGGCUACCCAGGGGUUAUUAAUGGUUAAUUCAGACUGAGCUUUGUGAUUUCUAAACACUGUUGGUUAGGUGUUGGUUAGCAGGAUACAGUCCUUGUUUGGACCUUUUUUCUAAGCAGUGAUAUACAAAGAUGUAAUUAUUUUAAGUGGUGUCUCCUCAGCAUCUGCAUGCUGGGUAGAUGUCAGUCUAAUAAUAUAACAAUGUUAAUCAUGACAGUUCUAUGGUGGUGGUUGGUAACUCUCUCUUUUUAAUGGCCAGGGAUUUAUCUUACUUAGUAAAAGUGAACUACUGUCAAAAUCAGGAGAAAAUUCACAAAUGAGAGCAGAUGUUUCCUGAACAUGUACUUGUCCUGAACUGUUGCUGCUUUA